UUUUAUGGGUGAUCAAAGAAAGUGGUUUCUUGAGCUAGAAUCUACUUCUCGUAAAGAUGCUGAAAA
rnacentral:pre_miRNA from 1 species